UGUAAAUGCCCUCGAUUGCCCCUUUCCCCAUUAGGCCUUGAGGAGCAGGUAUCAGGCACACCCAAGCAGUAGCCCAAGACGCCUUGCUAAGCCACGCCCCCACGGGUAUUCAGCAGUAGUUAACAUUAAGCAAUGAGCGCAAGCUCGACUUAGUCAUAGCAACAACUCCAUUCCCCUAAGGGUCGGUAAAUCUUGUGCCAGCCACCGCGGUCACACAAGAGACCCAAAUCAACCGUCCUACAAUCGGCGUAAAGUGUGGUAAAAUGUCUAUCCNAGCCAACUAAGAUCAAAACCCAGCUAAGCUGUCAUAAGCACAAGCUGCGCCUAAACACACCAUCAAGAUGAUCUUAGGGCUAACGAUCAAUUUAAAUCCACGAAAGCCAGGGCCCAAACUGGGAUUAGAUACCCCACUAUGCCUGGCCCUAAAUCUUGAUACUUACUUUACCGAAGUAUCCGCCAGAGAACUACGAGCACAAACGCUUGAAACUCUAAGGACUUGGCGGUGCCCUAAACCCACCUAGAGGAGCCUGUUCUAUAAUCGAUAAUCCACGAUCAACCCGACCACUCCUUGCCAACACAGCCUACAUACCGCCGUCGCCAGCCCACCUCAAAUGAGAGACCAACAGUGAGCGCAAUAGCCCCCCCCGCUAACAAGACAGGUCAAGGUAUAGCCUAUGGAGUGGAAGAAAUGGGCUACAUUCCCUAUGCAUAGGGUAAUACGAAAAGAAGUAUGAAACUACUUCUAUGAAGGAGGAUUUAGCAGUAAAGUGGGAGAAUAGUGCCUACUUUAAGCCGGCUCUAGGGCACGUACAUACCGCCCGUCACCCUCCUCGCAAGCCAUGCCCCCACAUAACUAAUACCACACAUGUGCUAAAGAUGAGGUAAGUCGUAACAAGGUAAGUGUACCGGAAGGUGUACUUAGAAUAUCAAGACGUAGC
rnacentral:ncRNA from 1 species